rnacentral:tRNA from 2 species
GGGGAUGUAGCUCAGCUGGGAGAGCACCUGCCUUGCAAGCAGGGGGUCAUCGGUUCAAUCCCGUUCAUCUCCACCA